AUUGAACGCUAGCGGGAUGCCUUACACAUGCAAGUCGAACGGAGUGGCGAACGGGUGAGUAAUGUAUCGGAACGUGCCCAGUAGCGGGGGAUAACUACGCGAAAGCGUAGCUAAUACCGCAUACUAUUGGAGCGGCCGAUAUCGGCUUAGCUAGUUGGUGGGGUGACGGCUCACCAAGGUGACGAUCCGUAGCUGGUUUGAGAGGACGACCGGCCAAACUGGGACUGAGGCACGGCCCAAACGCCUACGGGAGGCAGCGGUGGGGAAUUGUGGACUAUGGGGGAAACCCUGAUCCAGCCAUCCCGCGUGUGCGAUGAAGGCCUGCGGGUUGUAAGGCACUAUAGGCAGGAAAGCGGUACCUGCAGAAUAAGCACCGGCUAACUACGUGCCAGCAGCCGCGGUAAUUC
rnacentral:rRNA from 1 species